UGUGAAAAUUGUCCUCUUUCUCAUCUACAACUCCUCAUUACUACAAUAAUAGAUUUAGACAAAAAUAUUCAGUGCAAAGAAACCCUCAUCUAUUCAUAAAUAAUGUCACUAUUGAUGAUUUAGGACUUUAUUACUGUGUGACCAGAGACGCUCCAAAAUACAGCGACGGCACCAGAAUACACAUCAGCGGACCAACUCCGACUGCAGAGAUCCAGAAUCAGACAGCGGUGAAGAUCAUUGAGAGGAAUCAGACACAUUGGCAGAUUAUUAUCCUCAUAU